rnacentral:lncRNA from 1 species
UGGUGUUAUCUUGGGACUAACGAUUGGAUACAUACUUGUUUCGUACAGACCAGAGUGGUUCGUGAACCCUUGUGUCCGAAAGAAACACAAACACAGACGCAGGAGCAACGCAACUCAUUAAAGGAGGUAUUGUUCUGACUUUUGAACCAAUAUGUUAGCAAAUACUUGAAGAAACAAAACAUAAUAAUGAAACUGAUUACCUUUUGUCUUUUGGUUUGUAUAGGCGUUUUAUAACCUACCUGAAGAAUCUGGAAGAUUAAAUUCAAAGCAACCACUAUGUCUGAAUACAAAUAUGUGAA